ensembl:lncRNA
CCUAUAGACUCUCAAAGCUUCUGCCCCAGUUUCACAUGGCCACAACCAACUCCAGGAAGGCAGGGAAGUACAACCCUACCAUGAGCCCAAAAGGAGAACCAGAAAUACUUAGACACGAGCACUAAUUACUACCACAUCCUGUUCAGAGCAUAGAAUAAAACUACUUUCUGACCUGCUUCUGAAGUUGGAUGUGGCUGGCUGUGUGACCCAGUUCAGUCAAAGAAAUAGAGGAAACUUUGAGAACUAGGAGACUUUAAGAACUAAGAACUAGAACAAAAUUUGUUUGGCUCUUGCUUUCUCUCUGCCAUGGCCUGGCAAUAUUCCACAUAGUGGCUUCUCCUUCAGCCCCGGUUCCAGAGUGAGAACUGACAGCAGAGCUCCCAUUGACUUCCAGCAGGCAUGUGGAGUUAGUCACAGUUGGUAGAUCUUUGGGAAGUCCAAUCUGUCUUCCCAAGCCCUCUGACAGUGUGCUCAGCCUUCGCCGUUUCCCCUGUGAUCUCGCCAAGCUUGUUGCGGCUGCUGCUAAGUCACUUCAGCAGUGUGCGACCCCAUAGACGGCAGCCCACCAGGCUCCCCCGUCCCUGGGACUCUCCAGGCAAGAACACUGGAGUCGGUUGCCAUUUCCUUCUCCAAUGCAUGAAAGUGAAAAGUGAAAGUGAAGUCGCUCAGUCGUGUCAGACUCUUAGCGACCCCAUGGACUGCAGCCCACCAGGCUCCUCCAUCCAUGGGAUUUUCCAGGCGAGAGUUCUGGAGUGGGGUGCCAUUGCCUUCUCCAAGCUUGUUGUUAGGGCAGUUCUAGUCAUAGGCCUUCCUUUAGGGCAGUUGUUCUCAAACUUUAGCAUGUAUCAGAAUCAUCUGAAGUGUUUGUUAAAAACAGAUUUCUAGGCUUUUUCCCUUGAGUCUGAUUGAGUAGAUCUGAGGUGGGACUCUAGAAUUAGUAUUUCCAACUGUAUGUCUAUAACAAAUUUCCAGGUGAUGCUAAUGCUUCAAGCCUAUGAACUUGAUGCUAAUGCUUCAAGUUGGGAAUGACCAACUGAGAAAUACCGCUUUAGAACAUGAUCCUUAUUUUCUUUUUUUUUUUCUCAGAGAACAGGCUCUAGGCCUUGUGGGCUUCAGUAGUUGUGGUUUUCAGGCUCUAGAGCACAGGUCCAACAGUUGUGGAGCAUGGGCUUAAAUGCUCCAUGGCAUGUGGGAUCUUCCGAGAUCAGGGAUUGAACCUAUGUCUCCUGCACUGCAAGCAUAUUCUUUACCACUGAACCAC